GCGUCCAUAGCUCAGCUGGAUAGAGUGUCUGACUACGAAUCAGAAGGUCGGGAGUUCGAAUCUCUCUGGGCGCACCA
rnacentral:tRNA from 1 species